AGAAAAUGGCUCAACUUCUCUUCAAACUCAUAAACACUCAAACCUAAGCUUUUUCACUUCAAAACCUUCAAAAACUUUUGAAAACCAACACACACUUUGCAUGAGCUGGGCUUGCAAAUAAAGCAUGGGAGACGUGGCCAAUCUUCUGGACAGGGUUUGGAGCCAACACCUGUCCAAAAUGCUGACUAAGGAAGGCUCAAUAGGUGGCUAGCCA
rnacentral:lncRNA from 1 species